GGUCCGGGUCCGGACGAUGGCUCCAGCACGAACCGGGUCAGGCCGGGAACGGAGCAGCCCUAAGAGCAGGGAGCCAUGUGUUCGACGCCCGGGCCCAC
rnacentral:SRP_RNA from 1 species